CUUUGCUGUGGCCACAGACUUGUAGACAUAACUUUUCAAAUGUCAUAGGACUACUACUCUCUAUCAAAGUUAAUAGAUCCCAUCUAGAUACACAUCCUACUCCUAUAGCUCAACCAACUACAGUCAACAUCCACUAUAAAUUAUGACUCAUAAAUGAAUCAAUACUUAUGUGUAGUCAAACUACAGUAGUCUUACCACAAGCAACCAUAAUAUCGUAAGUCAAAAGAUCAGUUACACAAC
rnacentral:lncRNA from 1 species